GAUAACUGGCUUGUGGAGGCCAAGUGUUCAUAGUGAUGUCUCUUUUUGAUCCUUUCGAUCNUCUUCCUAUCAUUGUGAAGCAGAAUUCAGCAAGUAUUGGAUUGUUCACCAACUAAUAGGAAACGUGAGCUGGGUAUAGACCGUCUUGAGACAGGUU
rnacentral:ncRNA from 1 species